rnacentral:rRNA from 1 species
CACCAGCGCCACGAGUGGCAACCACGAUUAUUGGGCCUAAAGCGUCCGUAGCCUGCUUAAUAGGUCUUUUGUGAAAUCGUUGUACUUAAUAUAACGACGUGCAAGAGAUACCAUUGAGCUUGGAACCGGAGAGGAGUCAGAGGUAUUCUAGGGGGAGCGGUAAAAUGCUAUAAUCCCUAGCAGACCACCUGUGGCGAAAGCGUCUGACUAGAACGGCUUCGACGGUGAGGGACGAAAGCCAGGGGAGCAAAUCGGAUUAGAUACCCGCGUA